UACGGAGGGGGCUAGCGUUGUUCGGAAUUACUGGGCGUAAAGCGCGUGUAGGCGGUUCGGUAAGUCCGCUGUGAAAGUCGGGGGCUCAACCCUCGAAUGCCGGUGGAUACUGUCGGGCUAGAGUGCGGAAGAGGCGAGUGGAAUUCCUGGUGUAGCGGUGAAAUGCGCAGAUAUCAGGAGGAACACCAAUUGCGAAGGCAGCUCGCUGGGACGCUACUGACGCUGAGACGCGGAAGCGUGGGGAGCAAACAGG
rnacentral:rRNA from 1 species